rnacentral:lncRNA from 1 species
UGAUAGAUCUCCCUUCCCUUCAGCAAGAAUAAGUAAAGUUGCAAGCAAGAGAAGAAGAAAAAUGCAUUCUUGGUCAUUCCAUAACUCAAAAAACUGAAACCCUACAAAAUGAAUAGUUGGAGGCUUGGAAAUGUGUGUGGAUAGUCUCCCCUCAAAAUUGUCGAGAGAUACCCUAAAAAUGGUGGGGUCCACCUCUAAAGAAACCCUAGAGUUUAUGCCAAGUGUCCCACACAUUGGGCUUCUACAAUUUUUGCCACAAAAAGGGCCUAAUACACAAAAUACUAAUUAAAGUUCCUAAACAACUAAGUUACAAUUUAAUUAAAAUUGAAAUGACUAAAUGUAGAUUCUUUGAUGACCACGCCACCUCCUGAUGCUCCAAAAUAUGUCUCCAAUAUUUUCC